rnacentral:rRNA from 1 species
GUGGGUACGGGCAGACUAGAGUGCAGUAGGGGAGACUGGAAUUCCUGGUGUAGCGGUGAAAUGCGCAGAUAUCAGGAGGAACACCGAUGGCGAAGGCAGGUCUCUGGGCUGUAACUGACGCUGAGGAGCGAAAGCAUGGGGAGCGAACAGGAUUAGAUACCCUGGUAGUCCAUGCCGUAAACGUUGGGCACUAGGUGUGGGGGACAUUCCACGUUUUCCGCGCCGUAGCUAACGCAUUAAGUGCCCCGCCUGGGGAGUACGGCCGCAAGGCUAAAACUCAAAGGAAUUGACGGGGGCCCGCACAAGCGGCGGAGCAUGCGGAUUAAUUCGAUGCAACGCGAAGAACCUUACCAAGGCUUGACAUGAACCGGAAAGACCUGGAAACAGGUGCCCCGCUUGCGGUCGGUUUACAGGUGGUGCAUGGUUGUCGUCAGCUCGUGUCGUGAGAUGUUGGGUUAAGUCCCGCAACGAGCGCAACCCUCGUUCUAUGUUGCCAGCGCGUGAUGGCGGGGACUCAUAGGAGACUGCCGGGGUCAACUCGGAGGAAGGUGGGGACGACGUCAAAUCAUCAUGCCCCUUAUGUCUUGGGCUUCACGCAUGCUACAAUGGCCGGUACAAAGGGUUGCGAUACUGUGAGGUGGAGCUAAUCCCAAAAAGCCGGUCUCAGUUCGGAUUGGGGUCUGCAACUCGACCCCAUGAAGUCGGAGUCGCUAGUAAUCGCAGAUCAGCAACGCUGCGGUGAAUACGUUCCCGGGCCUUGUACACACCGCCCGUCAAGUCACGAAAGUUGGUAACACCCGAAGCCGGUGGCCUAACCCUUGUGGGGG